ACAACAUUUGGGAUGUCUCUCCAUGGAGCUAUGACAUCCGCUCGGUGGAAGAUCUUCCCUCUGUCAU
rnacentral:pre_miRNA from 1 species